rnacentral:lncRNA from 1 species
UUGAGGAGGCGAAUACUUAACUAGUAAAUUUUUUGAUCAUUUAAAAAAAAAUUCUCUCUUAAUGGACUCCUCCCUACAUUUGAUAAUUAAAUGGUAUUGUGAAAAGAAGGAAUCACAUCUUAUUAGAUAUGGUGUGGUCCAUGAUGUGCUUCACAGAUCUUUCAAUCUCUAUCUGGGGUCAUGUCCUAAAGACUGCUACAUAUGUUUUAAAUAGGGUA